ensembl:lincRNA
AUGAGACUCAGUCAUGCAGUUUCCAGCGUCAGUCUCUCCAUCUGCACGACCGGAGGUUCUGGGUCCCACAGGAGCUUUCGUCGUCUCUUGGUGUUCAUGGUACGGCUCUAUCCGACGAGCUGGCACCCACACAGGACGCUCCGUCUCCUGGGGAAAUACAAGCAAACCCUCCACUUGGAAGGCUUCCACACCACUCGGGGCUCUGUGCCACCACAACCACUUCAGUUUCGCUCAAGGCGAUCCUUCUUCCCUUCAGGUCCCACGUUGGGUGCCAGGUGCUGUGAGCCUUCUGUCCUUCAUGCCCCACGUCGGGUGCCAGUUGCUGUGAACCAGCUCAGCGGUUGUGAGCAGCGCAGCCUCCAGGCCCCAGCGCCCCACGGUGGAGCUCCUGCUGCGCCCUCGCCUACGACCAGCCUCCAGCCCCUCGCCUCGCCCUCCCCGGGCACCUGCUGCUCCGCCUGCCGGGAAGUCCCUUCCUCACUCUCUCCACCUGCCUCGCUCCUCUUCAGCAGGCAGAGCCCAGCACUGGGCGUGUUACCCUCAUCCUCUGGAUGAGGGCACUGGAGCUCGGCGAGGUUGUGACCUGCCCGAGGUCACGCAGAGACCAGAGCGAGGCUGGGGCUGGACUGGAGAGCCACGGCUCGUUCCUGCAGCCGCUGAGACUGACCUGCUGACGCCCAGCCCGGGGGCCUGGCCCGCGUCCCCCUCAGGUCUACACUCCGCCGGUGGCGUGGGUGACAACAGGCUGCACUCAGCUCUGCUGUGGAGCCCGGCUCUGCUGUGGAGCCCGGCUCUGCCUCUCCCUGGUCUGGGGAGCCCCCAGCCUCCGGGUCUCUGGGACUCACAGGGCAGGGGAGACCCCAGCCUUCUCUCACCUCGCACAUCCUGCCAUCUGGAGACUCGAAGCAGAGAAGCACUGCGGCUCCAGCUUUGGGGCACAAGGCGGGUGGCUGGGGAGUGUUUUGUUUUUGUUUUUUUAUCCCAGCCCAGCCCCGGCAGCUUUUUUUUUUUUUUUUUUUGCGUGCUGUCUGCUCUCUGUGUCCAUUCGCUGCGGGCUCUUGUGUUCUCGCUUGUCUCCCUUUUCUGGGUGCGCCACCUUGCUGAGUCGGCUCUCCGCGGCGUGGGGGCGAGCCUGCCUUCACCAGGAGGCCCCGGGACGCGAACCCAGGGCCCCCCGUAUGGUAGACGGGAGCCCAGCUGAUGCAGCCACAGCCGCUUCCCUGGCUGGGGAGCUGACAGGAGGCGACAGCCUUGUGCACUCCACGUGGGUCAAGGGGUCCCAAGGUGAAGGCAUUCAAGCACCUCCCUCGUGAUCGCUGCACGAUCGGCACGGGACCCCCCGUCGGAAUCCGCCGACUUGCUGGGAUGGGGGGCAGAGCGCCAGCCUUCACUCCACGCUCUCAUGCUUGGGCAAGGCACCAUGUCUGCAAGCAGGACAGUAGCCAGGAAGGAAGCUGAGCGCUCCGACAGAGCCACAGCCGUGGAGCCCCACCCAGGCAGCUGUCCUGUCCGUCAGCUGGAGGUCCCCUGGCCUGGCAGUGCCUUGGUAAGGGGACAGGCCGGGCGUCAUGGCUGGAUUUCAUGGCCUAGGGGACUGGCCUUCCCCACGGGACCCAGGGCUGGGGGCCCUGAUUCUUUGGGUGACUGUGUGCUCUCCUCAUUCCACUCCAGCCUAGGGGACAAGCGCCAGGAGCCAGCUGCACACCUGCUGCUUCCUGCUGAUGCUCCUCAGCUAGGAACCCCUCUUUGGCCUGUUGGUUUUUUUUUUAAGA